rnacentral:rRNA from 1 species
UGGGGAAUAUUGCACAAUGGGCGAAAGCCUGAUGCAGCGACGCCGCGUGAGUGAAGAAGUAUUUCGGUAUGUAAAGCUCUAUCAGCAGGGAAGAAUAAAUGACGGUACCUGACUAAGAAGCACCGGCUAAAUACGUGCCAGCAGCCGCGGUAAUACGUAUGGUGCAAGCGUUAUCCGGAUUUACUGGGUGUAAAGGGAGCGCAGGCGGCGUGAUAAGUCUGAUGUGAAAGCCCGGGGCUCAACCCCGGGACUGCAUUGGAAACUGUCGCGCUAGAGUGUCGGAGAGGUAAGUGGAAUUCCUAGUGUAGCGGUGAAAUGCGUAGAUAUUAGGAGGAACACCAGUGGCGAAGGCGGCUUACUGGACGAUAACUGACGCUGAGGCUCGAAAGCGUGGGGAGCA